rfam:Cajanus cajan Scaffold133596_5, whole genome shotgun sequence.
GAACUGUGAUGAUAUUUACAAGUGAUUGUGGGUCAAUCACACUCAUCUAAUAAAUAGGAUGACAUUGCACAACUGAGUUC